rnacentral:rRNA from 1 species
CGCCUGUUUAUUAAAAACAUAGUUUUUAAAAAUUUAUUUAAAAAUAAAAUCUGCCCAUUGAAUUUUUUAAAAGGCCGCAGUAUUUUGACUGUGCAAAGGUAGCAUAAUCAUUAGUUUUAUAAUUUAAAUCUAGAAUGAAUGAUUAAAUGAAAAAUAAACUUUUUUAAUUUUAAAAUUUUAAAUUUAUAUUUAAGUUAAAAAGCUUAAUUUAUUUUAAUAGACGAGAAGACCCUAUAGAAUUUAAUUAAUUAAAUAUAUUAAAAUUUUAAAAUAUAUUUAUUAAUUUAAUUGGGGAGAUUAAAAAAUUUAUUAAACUUUUUUUAAAAUUUUCAAAAUUAAUUGUUUAUUUGAUCUUUUUUUAAAGAUUUAAAAAUUUAAUUACCUUAGGGAUAACAGCAUAAUUUUUUUAAAAAGUUCUUAUUUUUAAUAAAGUUUAUGACCUCGAUGUUGGAUUAAAU